GUGUCAGCCGCCGCGGUAAUACGUAGGAUCCGAGCGUUGUCCGGAAUUACUGGGUGUAAAGGGCGUGUAGGUGGGUCUCUAAGUCGGUGGUGAAAUCCUGCAGCUUAACUGUAGAAUUGCCCUCGAUACUGGAGAUCUUGAGUGCGGUAGAGGGAGAUGGAAUUCAUGGUGUAGCGGUGAAAUGUGUAGAUAUCAUGAAGAACACCAGUCGCGAAGGCGGUCUCCUGGUCCGCUACUGACACUGAGGCGCGAAAGCGUGGGGAGCAAACAGGAUUAGAAACCCCGGUAGUCC
rnacentral:rRNA from 1 species